GAUCAUGGCUCAGGAUGAACGCUAGCUACAGGCUUAACACAUGCAAGUCGAGGGGCAGCAUUGGAGUAGCAAUACUCAGAUGGCGACCGGCGCACGGGUGAGUAACACGUAUCCAACCUGCCGCUUACUCGGGGAUAGCCUUUCGAAAGAAAGAUUAAUACCCGAUGGUAUAAAGAGUUCGCAUGUUCUCUUUAUUAAAGAAUUUCGGUAAGCGAUGGGGAUGCGUUCCAUUAGAUAGUUGGCGGGGUAACGGCCCACCAAGUCUACGAUGGAUAGGGGUUCUGAGAGGAAGGUCCCCCACAUUGGAACUGAGACACGGUCCAAACUCCUACGGGAGGCAGCAGUGAGGAAUAUUGGUCAAUGGACGAGAGUCUGAACCAGCCAAGUAGCGUGAAGGAUGACUGCCCUAUGGGUUGUAAACUUCUUUUAUAAGGGAAUAAAGUGAGGGACGUGUCCCUUUUUGUAUGUACCUUAUGAAUAAGGAUCGGCUAACUCCGUGCCAGCAGCAGC
rnacentral:rRNA from 1 species